rnacentral:tRNA from 1 species
AGCCCCGUGGUGUAGCAUACAUAUUGGAUUGCAAAUCCAAAGACGCAGAUUGACCGUCUGCCGGGGCUU